GACGAAGGUGGCAAGCGUUGUUCGGAUUCACUGGGCAUAAAGGGCGCGUAGGCGGUUCCGAAAGUGGCAUGUGAAAUCCCCCGGCUCAACCGGGGAAGUGCGUGCCAAACUUCGGUGCUAGAGGGCGGUAGGGGGGGACUGGAACUCUCGGUGGAGCGGUGAAAUGCGUAGAUAUCGAGAGGAACACCGGUGGCGAAGGCGAGUCCCUGGUCCGCUUCUGACGCUGAGGCGCGAAAGCGUGGGUAGCAAACAGG
rnacentral:rRNA from 1 species